CUGCACCCAAUUAAGCCGACUGAGUUCCUUUCCUCAUGGGGGCCCAGUGUGCAAUGGCUGCAAACAGCAGCUUCCCUGGUAGUGAUGCAGCCUGUUUGUUGUAUGGGUUGCUCUAAGGGACCUUGGAGACAGUC
rnacentral:snoRNA from 1 species